rnacentral:misc_RNA from 1 species
GAUGAAGAACGUAGCGAAAUGCGAUACUUGGUGUGAAUUGCAGAAUCCCGUGAACCAUCGAGUCUUUGAACGCAAGUUGCGCCUCAAGCCAUUAGGUUGAGGGCAUGUCUGCCUGGGCGUCACAUAUCGUUGCCUGAUGCCAGUUUCCUCGUGAUGGGUGACUGUGCAGGGCGAAUGAUGGCUUCCCGUGAGCAUUGUUGCCUCAUGGUUGGUUGAAAAUUGAGUCCUUGGUAGGGAGCGCCGUGAUAGAUGGUGGUUGAGUGACGAACGAGACCCAAUCAUGUGAGACCCCUACCGAAUUUGGCCUUCAUGACCCACAUGCGUCUUUGGAACGCUCAUGACGAGACCUCAGGUCAGGCGGGGCUACCCGCUGAGUUUAAGCAUAUCAAUAAGCGGAGGA